rnacentral:rRNA from 1 species
UCCCAGACUCCUACGGGAGGCAGCAGUGGGGGAUAUUGCACAAUGGGGGAAACCCUGAUGCAGCGACGCCGCGUGUGGGAAGACGGUCCUCUGGAUUGUAAACCACUGUCCCCAGGGACGAAGAUGACGGUACCUGGGGAGGAAGCUCCGGCUAACUACGUGCCAGCAGCCGCGGUAAUACGUAGGGAGCAAGCGUUGUCCGGAAUUACUGGGUGUAAAGGGAGCGUAGGCGGGAUGGCAAGUUGGGUGUUAAAUCUGCCGGCUCAACUGGUAGUCGCACUCAAAACUGCUAUUCUUGAGUGAAGGAGAGGCAGGCGGAAUUCCUAGUGUAGCGGUGAAAUGCGUAGAUAUUAGGAGGAACACCAGUGGCGAAGGCGGCCUGCUGGACCGUGACUGACGUUGAGGCUCGAGAGCGUGGGGAGCAAACAGGAUUAGAUCCCCGAGUA